UACGGAGGGUGCGAGCGUUGUCCGGAAUCAUUGGGCGUAAAGGGCGCGUAGGCGGCUCAUGAAGGCUGUGGUGAAAAGUCCGGGGGCUCAACCCUCGGAUCGGCCGUGGCGACUCGUGGGCUGGAGCACUGUAGAGGCGGGUGGAAUUCCGGGUGUAGCGGUGGAAUGCGUAGAGAUCCGGAAGAACACCAGUGGCGAAGGCGGCCGCUGGCAGCUGGCUGACGCUGAAGCGCGGACAGCGUGGGAGCAAACAGG
rnacentral:rRNA from 1 species